rnacentral:lncRNA from 1 species
UGGCUGCCUUCCCUCCACCUGUGCACAAGGCCACACUCCACUCUGUGAGUUCUGUACAGUGAAGGCCUCCCUCAAGAGGGGAGUGUUCCACUGGUGGCUGCCUUCCCUCCACCUGUGCACAAGGUCACACUCCACCCUGUGAGUUCUGUACAGUGAGGGCCUCCCUAGAGAGGGAGUGUUCCACUGCUGGCUGCCUUCCCUCCACCUGUGCACAAGGCC